rnacentral:rRNA from 1 species
GUGGGGAAUCUUCCGCAAUGGACGAAAGUCUGACGGAGCAACGCCGCGUGAGUGAAGAAGGUUUUCGGAUCGUAAAGCUCUUUCGUUAGGGACGAACGUGCUCUUUGUGAAUAAUGAGGAGUAAUGACGGUACCUAAAUAAGAAGCCACGGCUAACUACGUGCCAGCAGCCGCGGUAAUACGUAGGUGGCAAGCGUUGUCCGGAAUUAUUGGGCGUAAAGCGCGCGCAGGCGGGAUAUCAAGUCUGUCUUAAAAGUGCGAGGCUCAACCUCGUGAGGGGACAGAAACUGGUAUUCUUGAGUGUCGGAGAGGAAAGUGGAAUUCCAAGUGUAGCGGUGAAAUGCGUAGAGAUUUGGAAGAACACCAGUGGCGAAGGCGACUUUCUGGACGAUGUCUGACGCUGAGGCGCGAAAACUAGGGGAGCGAACGGGAUUAGAUACCCUGGUAGUCC